rnacentral:rRNA from 1 species
AUUGAACGCUGGCGGCAUGCCUAACACAUGCAAGUCGAACGGAGUGGCGGACGGGUGAGUAAUGUCUGGGAACCUGCCUGAUGUAGGGGUAUAACUACUGUAAACGGUAGCUACUACCGCUUACCAUCAGAUGUGCUCAGAUGGGAUUAGCUAGUUGGUGGGGUAACGGCUCACCAAGGCGACGAUCCCUAGCUGGUCUGAGAGGAUGAACAGCCACAAUGGAACUGAGACACGGUCCAGACUCCUACGGGAGGCAGCAGUGGGGAAUAUUGGACAAUGGGCGAAAGCCUGAUCCAGCCAUGCCGCGUGUGUGAAGAAGGUCUUCGGAUUGUAAAGCACUUUAAGUUGGGAGGCGUUACCAACAGAAUAAGCACCGGCUAACUUCGUGCCAGCAGCCGCGGUAAUAC